ensembl:lncRNA
AUGCUCAAUAUUGCUGAAUCUGGAGUGGAAUCCCUGGAGGCCCUUUCAUGUCUGAAAGAGCAGCACACAAAAGGCACACUCAUCCUACUAGGAUUUUCCAUUCCUCCACAUGGGAAGUCUAAACACCGCUGUGCAAGCCUCACAUUCACUAUAAAUAUCAUAGAUCUUUAAUUCUACUAUUGUUUGGUUUACAAUCACAUUACUGUCAGUAGACUCACAGGCCACUUCAUUUAGAUGUUUUGACAUCACUUAAGCUUUUCCAUUUUGUACGUGGUUUUUCCAGUUGGUUCGGAAGAGAAGGCUGGCAGUCUGUGAUGAAUUAUGUUUGUUUUAUUCAUUCUCGAUUUUUCUCCCGGUAUGAAGAUUGUGCUAAAGUAACUUCCUUUAGUUAAGUUUUACAAUGCUUUGUAUUUACUUUACACCAGAUUGUAGCGCUAAGCUGUACAUGUGUUUGCAAAUAUAUGCACGUGUAAUACACAGAGCAUUUCUUCCCUGGAAUUGUCAAAACCGUAGCCUACACCCGUUCGUGAAUCCCAUUUCUUUCUUUUUCCCUAAUCUCCCGUACAUUUGGCUGGAGCGUUUGGUAAAUCGGUUUCAGUUGGCUAAUACAAACCAUACUGUCGCUCUCGAUGCUUCAGGCCUUUUCAAAUAAGAUUAGUGGACUUCACAUAUGGUUGUUGAUCCUCCGGAUUUAAAGAGCAGUUAAAAUAUUUCCCUUUAAUGUGUCUCCGUAUCCGGCUUGAUAAGAGCAUAAUACCCAAAAACAUUAAAUACAUGCCUUGUAAUGUCUUUGGGGCUUACAAGCUUCAAUGAACAGCAAAACACAUGAGCGUAGACAAUAAUGAUACAAAAGCCUUAACAGCUUGGAAAAUGACCACACAAUCACUCCCCCUCCCUUUUUUUACAUUUACAGAAGGACAAAUAAGCAAGCUGUUGCCUGGCUGUAGCCAUGUCUUCAUGUCUAAUGGAAUCUUCUACCAAAUUCCCUUUAAGCGAGGGUCAACUUUCAACAAGUGGUUUCUUGUCAGGAGCAACCAUGACACAAGCAGGCAGAAACACAACGCAGGCAUGAGACAUUUCAGGCAAGAGAGCCACAUCUGAGCAAAAUCUCUGGGAGGCUGAUGACAAGAGAGCUAGUGAUGACAAGGAACACUUCCUGGCCACAGGCGUUCACUUCCCCUAUCAGAGGCGUUCUACAGACAGAAUAAGUUAGACCAAUAUUACAUCAAAAACAUAUACGAAGACAAGAAUACAGUACAUAUUCAUGUAAACACUAAAAAAUGGCAUAUACAAAAAUAAACUGGCAAUCAUGCACUAAAAAUCCUGGCA